UACGGAGGGGCUAGCGUUGUUCGGAAUUACUGGGCGUAAAGCGCACGUAGGCGGCUUUGUAAGUUAGAGGUGAAAGCCCGGGGCUCAACCCCGGAAUAGCCUUUAAGACUGCAUCGCUUGAACGUCGGAGAGGUGAGUGGAAUUCCGAGUGUAGAGGUGAAAUUCGUAGAUAUUCGGAAGAACACCAGUGGCGAAGGCGGCUCA
rnacentral:rRNA from 1 species